CUUAGGUCGGUAGGUCCUCAGGACGGAAAGACCUCAGGACGGAAGGUUCUUAGGUCGGUAGGUCCUCAGGACGGAAAGACCUCAGGUCGGAAGGUCCGCAAGACGGAAAGACCUCAAGUCGGAAGGUCUUCAGGUCGGGAGGUCCGCAAGACGGAAAGACCUCAAGUCGGAAGGUCUUCAGGUCGGGAGGUCCGCAAGACGGAAAGACGAUGAGUCGGAAGGUUUUCAAGUCGGGAGGUCCUCGAGACGGAAAGUCGUCGAGAUGGGAUAUCCGCAGGUCGGGUAAAUUGUAGGUCGGAUAGAAGGCGGAGUCGGACAAACGCGGAAGCCUUUGAUCAAAGACAGGGGGCGGUUGAUAUGGAGGUCGGCCCAAGUGGGGUCGGGCGAAGAAGUAGGUCGGACGAAGGACGAAGUCGGGCCAAAAGAGCGGAAGGUUUGUGGUCGGCUCAAGGAGUGAAAUAUAGGGAAUUUUGGUCUGCUGGGGACACGUGUCAGCAUGAGAAAGGUUGGAAGACGGUUGAGAAGGAGACGUUGUAACCGUUCGGGUGACGGUUUUCAGUAUGGUUUCCUAGGGAAUAUUUAAGGAUUUGGAUCAUCAUUUGGCAAGGCAUCUUCAAUCAACUUCAACAAAGCAAAGUCAGAUUUGGGGAUCACCACUUUAAAUUUCAGUCUUUUAUUUUCCAAUUUAUUUUCUGUACCAUACAGUGUUUAGAGAUUCCUAAUCUCAGGCACUAAUUAAUCAAGUUUAAGGAUAUUUUCUAUAUCUUUGAAUUUUACUUUAUUUUUGUUGAAAAAUUACAUCAACAAAUUGGCGACCACAGUGGGAGAAAAUUGCUGAUCCAUAUGGCAAAUUUUCAAUUCCACAGUACAGCCGUUGGCUUUAUCACGGCAGAAGAAGCUUCCCAACUACGGGCCGAAUUGACAGCAGGUUUUACAGCAUGUUUUCGGCAAAUGUACGACCAGCAGAUAGCAAAUCUGCAGGCAAUACAUGACGCAAUGCAAAACUUGAUGGAGCAAUCAAAAUUCAUGUUGAAUUCGGUUCCUGCACCGCCAGAAAUGUCAUGCCCCCAAACGGACAACGCCAUUCCUGAGCAUAUACCCAGUCAGACAGACUGGAAU